UAACCUGGUUGAUCCUGCCAGUGGCCACCGCUAUUGGAUUACGAUUAAACCAUGCGAGUCGAGAGGGUUCGGCCCUCGGCGGACCGCUCAGUAACACGCGGAUAACCUGCCCUUGGGUGGGGGAUAAGCUCGGGAAGCUGAGUACAAUACCCCAUAGGCCAUCCAUGCUGGAAUGCUAGAUGGCUCAAAGCUCCGGCGCCCAAGGAUGGAUCUGCGGCCUAUCAGGUCGUAGUUGGUGUAACGGACCAACUAGCCUACGACGGGUACGGGCCUUGAGAGAGG
rnacentral:rRNA from 1 species